rnacentral:rRNA from 1 species
CCCUUAGAUUUCCUGGGCCGCACGCGCGCUACACUGAUGCAUUCAACGAGUAUUUCCUUGGCCGAGAGGCCUGGGCAAUCUUUUAAACCUGCAUCGUGAUAGGGAUAGAUUAUUGCAAUUAUUAAUCUUGAACGAGGAAUUCCUAGUAAACGCAAAUCAUCAAUUUGCAUUGAUUACGUCCCUGCCCUUUGUACACACCGCCCGUCGCACCUACCGAUUGAAUGGUCCGGUGAAAUCUCGGGAUUGUGGCCAGUUCACUUUAUUGGGAGUUGGCUGCGAGAACUUGCUUAAACCUUAUCAUUUAGAGGAAGGUGAAGUCGUAACA